rnacentral:tRNA from 1 species
GCCGAAGUGGUGGAACUGGUAGACGCGCGGGACUCAAAAUCCCGUGAGGGCAACCUCGUGUCGGUUCGAUUCCGACCUUCGGCACCA